UACGUAGGGUGCGAGCGUUAAUCGGAAUUACUGGGCGUAAAGCGUGCGCAGGCGGUUUUGUAAGCCGGAUGUGAAAUCCCCGGGCUUAACCUGGGAAUGGCAUUCGGGACUGCAAGGCUGGAGUGCGGCAGAGGAGACUGGAAUUCCUGGUGUAGCAGUGAAAUGCGUAGAUAUCGAGAAGAACACCGGUGGCGAAGGCGGCCAUCUGGACGGUGACUGACGCUGAGACGCGAAAGCGUGGGGAGCAAACAGG
rnacentral:rRNA from 1 species